rnacentral:rRNA from 1 species
CACGUACGGGAGGCAGCAGUCGAGAAUAUUCGACAAUGGGCGAAAGCCUGAUCGAGCGACGCCGCGUGCUCGAAGAAGUCCUUAGGGAUGUAAAGAGCUUUUCUCACGGAGGAAUUUUUUGAGGGGACCUGAGGAAUAAGGGGAUGCUAAUCACGUGCCAGCAGCCGCGGUAAUACGUGAUCCCCAAGCGUUAUCCGGAUUUAUUGGGCGUAAAGGGUUCGUAGGCGGAUGGGCAAGUCUUUGGUUAAAUUUUCAUGGCUUAACUAUGAAACUGCCCGAGAUACUGCUCAACUAGAGGGCGCUAGAGGCUGAUAGAACGGUCAGUGUAGGGGUGAAAUCCGUUGAUAUUGACCGGAAUACCAAAUGCGAAGGCAUUCAGCUGGGGCGACCCUGACGCUGAGGAACGAAAGCGUGGGCAUGGAAAAGGAUUAGAUACCCUUGUACUCCACGCUGUAAACGAUGGACACUAGCUAUUUGAAGUGUCGACCCUUCAAGUGGCGAAGCUAACGCGUUAAGUGUCCCGCCUGGGAAGUACGGCCGCAAGGCUAAAACUCAAAAGAAUAGACGGGGCUUCACACAAGCGGUGGAG